CGAGGUUUAGGGAUGGAGAUGGAAGGUUCGUAUCAUACAGUCCCAGCAGCAGCGGUAAUACUAUAGAAAUGCCGAGUGUUAUCCAUACCAGGCAUU
rnacentral:rRNA from 1 species